GACGAACGCUGGCGGCGUGCUUAACGCAUGCAAGUCGAACGGUGAAGCGCCUUCCUUUUUGGUGGGUGUGGAUGAGUGGCGAACGGGUGAGUAACACGUGAGUAACCUGCCCCCUUCUUCUGGAUAACCGCAUGAAAGUGUGGCUAAUACGGGAUAUUCUGGGUCUGUCGCAUGAUGGGUCUGGGAAAGAUAUUGUUUCGGUGGGGGAUGGGCUCGCGGCCUAUCAGCUUGUUGGUGGGGUGAUGGCCUACCAAGGCGGUGACGGGUAGCCGGCCUGAGAGGGUGGACGGUCACACUGGGACUGAGACACGGCCCAGACUCCUACGGGAGGCAGCAGUGGGGAAUAUUGCACAAUGGGCGCAAGCCUGAUGCAGCGACGCCGCGUGAGGGAUGGAGGCCUUCGGGUUGUGAACCUCUUUCGCCAGUGAAGCAGGCCUGCCUCGUUUGUGGGUGGGUUGACGGUAGCUGGAGAAGAAGCGCCGGCUAACUACGUG
rnacentral:rRNA from 1 species